ensembl:snRNA U6 U6 spliceosomal RNA
GUGCUCGCUUCGGCAGCACAUACACUACCAUUGGAAUGAUACAGAGAAGGUUGGCAUGGCCCCUGUGCAAGGGCGACACGCAAGUUCAUGAAGGGUUCCUUAUUAAA